rnacentral:lncRNA from 1 species
GACUCUUGCUUUAUUAUGGGAUGUAAAGGCCGUUCUCUUUCCAUCCUUUCUCUAGCUCCUCCUACCAUCCUGGACGGCGCCGUGGCUCUGACCCCAACUUCCCAACAGGAACCUGCCGCUGCUGUUCCUUUCUACUCCAUGGUACCUGCCUCUAUGGGCCCAGCACCUGGCUCUCUGAACCCCUAUGGAGCCGAGAUGAACCCCAUGUACAGGGGGCCAGCGGCGCUGCCAGCAGGUCUACCUCCUCAAGGCCCUGACCUGCAGCCACAUGAGGGGACCCAGCAUGAAGCAGGGGUGGCUGAACCUCCCGCAUGGAAGGCAGUUGCAGAAGAAGACUUCUACGCGAAGAUGGCAAACAUGGUAUUGGCCAGUUUCUUUUUCUCUCCCUUUAUUAGUGGUCUUCAUUGUGCGGCCACAUGGAGCCUGAGGGCUUGUGGGAAGUUUCCAAGCCUGCCUUGCGUGCUCUGGCUUAAUUUGGGCACGUUAGUUCCGGAGUGCCAAAAUGUGUGGAAGAGGUUCUAGAGCCGUGGUGGCUAACCUUUUGGGGCUCCUGUGCCAAAAAUUGUGCACGCGCUUGCAUGCUCACGCUCGCGUGCCAGCAGCCAGAAGGCAAUGCAUGUCCCCCCACAUCCCCUACGCAUGUGUGUGCAAUCCCACCCACCCCCUUACCUG